GCUGGAGGAAGAAGAUAUCGGGCUGUGACCCUCUAAAGGGAAGCGCUUUCUGUUGUGUGAAAGAAAACGAAGCGCUUCUCUUUGGAGCGUUACAGUUUGAGAAGCUCAACGCUGAAGCU
rnacentral:pre_miRNA from 8 species